AAUCCGGGGGGCCCACCCCCCAAGGCUAAAUACUAGCUGGUGACCGAUAGUGAACUAGUACCGCGAGGGAAAGGUGAAAAGAACCCCUGUUAGGGGAGUGAAAUAGUACCUGAAAUCAUGUGCUUACAUGCUAUGGUAGCCUGCCGCAAGGCGGGUGGCCGUUUGCCUUUUGCAUAAUGAGUCCGCGAGUUAUUGUUAGCAGCAAGGUUAAGGGUGGUCUCCACCUGGAGCCGAAGCGAAAGCGAGUGCGAAACGUGCGUUCAGUUGCUGGCAAUAGACCCGAAGCCGUGUGAGCUAUCCAUGGGCAGGUUGAAGUCGCUGUAACAGGCGAUGGAGGACCGAACUUAUGAGGGCUGAAAACCUCUAGGAUGACCUGUGGAUUGGAGCGAAAGACUUAUCAAACUCGGUGAUAGCUGGUUCUCCUCGAAAUAACUUUAGGGUUAGCCUGCACGAAUGCUCGCCGCGGAGGUAGAGCACUGAAUGGAAUAGGGGCCUUACCGGGUUUCCGACGCCAAUCAAACUCCGAAUACCGCGGCAGUCACGUGUGGAGAUAGACUGUGGGGGAUAAGCUUCAUAGUCAAAAUGGAAACAGCCUAGAUCGCCAGCUAAGGCCCCUAAAACCGGUUCAGUGACUAAGGAUGUACGAUCGCUAAAACAGCUAGGAUGUUGGCUUAGAGGCAGCCAUCAUUUAAACAGUGCGUAACAGCUGACUAGUCGAGCGAUUGUGCGCCGAAAAUGAUCGGGACUAAACCGGUUGCCGAAGCUGCGGAUUUCCAGGAUCUUCGGAUCCUGGGAGUGGUAGAGGAGCGUUGUAUUUGCAUCGAAGCGCAAGGGUGACCGAACGUGGAGCGGAUACAAGUGAUUAUGCGGACAUGAGUAACGAAUAGCCGGAUGAGAAUUCCGGCCGCCGAAAUCCCAAGAUUUCCUGGGGAAGGUUCGUCCGCCCAGGGUUAGUCGGCCCCUAAGUCCAGGCCAAUUAGGCGUAGGCGAUGGGAAGCAGGUUUAAUAUUCCUGCACCGCCGAUGGGCGAUUAAGACGCGAUGGAGUACUCGGAAAGUUAAAUCAGCCGUCGAUUGGAAGUGACGGUUCAAGCCCGUAGGGGUGUGGCCAGGCAAAUCCGGCCGCGCAACCUGAAAGGCGACGAGACGUGGAGGCUUCGGCCGAAGCGGAUUGGUUGAUACUCUGCCGACAAGAAAAACUUCUAGCGAGCCCAUAGGCGACCGUAUCGUAAACCGACACAGGUGGGAAGGUAGAAUAUACCAAGGCGCGCGAGAGAAACCUCGUUAAGGAACUCGGCAAUCUAGCCCCGUAACUUCGGAAGAAGGGGUCCUCCUGACCGUUCGUGUAACAACAAAGCGGUUUGGAGGCGCAGUGAAAGGGCCCAGGCGACUGUUUAUCAAAAACACAGCACUAUGCCAACUCGCAAGAGGAUGUAUAUGGUGUGACACGUGACCAAUGCUGUAAGGUUAAGGUAAGGGGUUAGCCGCAAGGCGAAGCUUUGAACCGAAGCCCCAGUGAAUGUCGGCCGUAACUAUAACGGUCCUAAGGUAGCGAAAUUCCUUGUCGGGU
rnacentral:rRNA from 1 species